AACGAACGCUGGCGGCAUGCCUAACACAUGCAAGUCGAACGAGACCUUCGGGUCUAGUGGCGCACGGGUGCGUAACGCGUGGGAACCUGCCCUUAGGUUCGGAAUAACUCCCCGAAAGGGGUGCUAAUACCGGAUAAUUUCUCCGGACCAAAGAUUUAUCGCCUUUGGAUGGGCCCGCGUUGGAUUAGCUAGUUGGUAGGGUAAAAGCCUACCAAGGCGACGAUCCAUAGCUGGUCUGAGAGGAUGAUCAGCCACACUGGGACUGAGACACGGCCCAGACUCCUACGGGAGGCAGCAGUGGGGAAUAUUGGACAAUGGGCGAAAGCCUGAUCCAGCAAUGCCGCGUGAGUGAUGAAGGCCUUAGGGUUGUAAAGCUCUUUUACCCGGGAUGAUAAUGACAGUACCGGGAGAAUAAGCUCCGGCUAACUCCGUG
rnacentral:rRNA from 1 species